CGCGUAGGCGGCCAGAUAAGUCCGGUGUGAAAGUCACAGGCUCAACCUGUGAAUGCCGCUGGAAACUGUUUGGCUAGAGUCCGGGAGGGGCGAGUGGAAUUCCUGGUGUAGCGGUGAAAUGCGCAGAUAUCAGGAGGAACACCAAUGGCGAAGGCAGCUCGCUGGAACGGUACUGACGCUGAGGCGCGAAAGCGUGGGGAGCAAACA
rnacentral:rRNA from 1 species